GCCCAAUAGAUAGCUCAGUCAACAGAGCAUGAGACUCUUGAUCCCAAGGUCGUGGGUUCAGGAAAAAUAUUCCCGCAGAGCAGCG